AGCCAACCCAAACAUCCCUUCUGCGACGGGCACAGUACAGACUACCCGUUGUCUCGGAGAUUAUACUAUCGACAGCUUCUCUUGUUUAUAGAGUUGUUCCCUUCUCUGUAUCUCCAAUGGCGUCCGAUCUCGGAAUGAAGGCCAAGGAGGCUUUCGUCGACGAUCACUUCGAGCUGGCGGCCAACCUCUUAACGCAGGCCAUCGCCCUUAACCCCAGCAACGCCGGCUCUACGCUGAUCGUGCUCAGGCCCAUAUCAAACUGAACAAUCUAACCGGUUUUUUUUUUUAUUGUUUUUCCUCGUGUUUGUUACUAUAUUCAACUGUUUUCUUGGUGAUUUGAAAACUUUGGCAUUGAACUCAAUUGCUUAACUGUGAUACUUGUCAAAUUGAUAUCCUUCAAGAGUACUUAGGCGUUGUUUGGGAGAAUUUUCAAUUCUUGUUUCAGUUUGAAAUUCACAUUGGAUGUAGUCAGUUUUUGUAAUUAUGCAUAGAAAAACUUGUGCUAUUGUAUUGUUCUGAUCGGAUAAGAAAAAAGGAUGUCUAAUUUCUUCCUAUGAUAUUUAGAGGCCGUUGCUGAUGCAAACAGAGCAAUUGAGUGGGAUCCUUCGAUGGCUAAAGCUUACUUACGCACAGGAACUUGGGCCAGCUCCGUUCCCUUUCCUUUCGUCUUCUAUGCUUGUGCUCUCUUACUCGCCUGGCUAGUGGCUACCCCGGCGCACAGGGAUUGGGCUAUACAUUUUUUGAAGUCUAUUUCAUCUGGGAAGAUAAAAGUAUGCAAUUUUUUGGAGGA
rnacentral:misc_RNA from 1 species